GAUGAACGCUGGCGGCGUGCCUAAUACAUGCAAGUCGAGCGAACGGACGAGAAGCUUGCUUCUCUGCUGUUAGCGGCGGACGGGUGAGUAACGCGUGGAUCACCUACCUAUAAUACUGGGAUAACUACGGGAAACCGGAGCUAAUACCAGAUAAUAUUUUGAACCGCAUGGUGCAAAAGUAAAUGACGGUCUUGCUGUCACUUAUAGAUGGAUCCGCGCUGCAUUAGCUAGUUGGUAAGGUAACGGCUUACCAAGGCAACGAUGCAUAGCCGACCUGAGAGGGUGAUCGGCCACACUGGAACUGAGACACGGUCCAGACUCCUACGGGAGGCAGCAGUAGGGAAUCUUCCGCAAUGGGCGAAAGCCUGACGCAGCAACGCCGCGUGAGUGAUGAAGGUCUUCGGAUCGUAAAACCCUGUUAUUAGGGAAGAACAGAUGUGUAAGUAACUGUGCACAUCUUGACGGUACCUAAUCAGAAAGCCACGGCUAACUACGUG
rnacentral:rRNA from 1 species